GUCCACCCUACGUGUUCUAUUAGCGUGUAAACCUCCCCUGCUUUUGAACCGACCAACUCUCCCCUCUCUCACAAAGACAACUACAGAUUGUGAUAAGAGAGCACUCCUGACUCUUCCUUGUCCUCUCUGGUUGCAAACGUCUCAGGCCGGCCUUACCCCCUCCACACACUCCAAGAUUCACGACCAUCUUUAGAGAAUUCUACAUCUUAUCACGAUUCAAUCCAGCCUCGAAUUCCAUCGCUUUAUAUUUUAUGCGAGUUUUUGUGAAAAUAUUGACACCGACAAAUCCCGAUCUGCAGGCGGAUUCGAAUUCCUUGUCUUUUCCUUAUUUUCACGAGCUGGUUAGAGAUUGGAUUCACAAUUUUUGGGUUCCAUUUGAAAUGGUCUAUUUGCAUAGCUCAAUUUCGGUCUACAACUCCGUUGACCAGCCCACUGCAAUGGCUGACACUAAAUCAAGGGUUAACAAUCAUGUAUCAAGGAACAGAAAGGCACCCUUUUUGCCUAAUUGCUCGAAAAUCCCGGUUUGUGAUCGAUCUCGAUCGGCGGCAGUCGAUAUAGUAAUCCUUAUUGUCGUUAUUGGUGCUUGUGGAUUUUUGCUGUUCCCUUAUAUUAGGUUUAUGGUCGUGGAGCUUAUUGGAAUUGUUGGUGCGAUUGUUCGUGUGGUUAGGGAGGAAGUUGCUGAUGCUCCGGUGAUAUAUGGUUCUAUAGGGCUCAGCGUUUGCUGUGCUGCAUUGGUUGCCUGGAUGGUUGUGAUAUGUACUAGCCGGAAAUGUGGGAAUCCGAAUUGCAAAGGGCUGAGGAAGGCGGCGGAGUUCGAUAUUCAGUUGGAGACAGAGGAGUGCGUGAAGAACUCCACUAAUUUGGUUAAAGAUGGAGGACUGAAGAAGGGUCUGUUUGAAUUGCCACGCGAUCACCACCGGGAAUUGGAGGCGGAGCUCAAGAAGAUGGCGCCGCCUAAUGGAAGAGCAGUUCUUGUUUUUCGUGGGAGGUGUGGAUGUUCUGUUGGUAGAUUGGAAGUUCCGGGGCCGAAGAAGUAUCGGAAGAGCAAAAAGUAGGAUUGAUGUUGAUUGUUCUUAUUCAAUACAGGAUAAUCAGGAUACAGGAAUAACCAUAACGCAGAGAGAAGGGCCUUCUCUUGUUGAUCUUUUUCAGAACUAUGUCGUCUUUAAAUAAGCUUAUGAUUUGAAUAGAAGGCUGAUGCAUUUGUUGAUUGAUUUGCGAAGGGACACAUCUAGAUGAGAUCCACAAAAGGAUCACUGACAUUGGUUGGGAACAGCGUGUGGUAUGAUCCAUUCCUUCUAGCGAUGUUUGCACCACACUGCAUAGUUAAUAACGACUUUCUAUUUAAUCACUCCAUGCUAUACUUUUGAAAAGCUUAACUGGUGAUGUAAAUUCCUUUGGUUAUUCAAUAAAAAGGUUGAUAAUUUGUGCACAUCCCAUUAACUGAUGAGCCAUGGAAAAUCAAUCAUUAAUUGUAAAAACAUGAUAGAAUUGCAGUCUGUGUUUAUCAUAGAAGAAUAUUCUGAGACUUUGUUGGGCUUUGAUGAAAACAAUAUUUUAAAGCCCUUGCUCAUUCAAGAAUCAAGAGUUCUUCAAUGAUGAAAUGUACUUAUUUCAGUGUACUGCCUCUUUCUAGGUUGCCUAUUAAUCAUCUUCAUUAAGUUUCUUAUGAUGUAAGGCACUAAACUCUUUGAUUUAUCCCUUUGCUGUCAAAGGAACCUUAAAGUUGAUAUCAAUAUAUGACACUAUAAUGUGGUUGUUCAUACAUCUUCUCAGUGUCCUGAGAGGGCUAUUUUUGAAAAUCUUAUGGUGUCAUUAUUUCUAUGCAAAAAAGUUUUUUGACAAUUAUGUUGCUUCUCUUCUUUUGUAAGAUGGAAGUUUUUAUUCCGUGUUUGCAGUGAAGGUUGAGGGUGACCUCUUAUCACUCUGAGGAGAAGAAAUAUUUUACAACCUAGUCUCUACUUGUGCAAUACAAUGAAUAGGGUUGGUAGGCCUGUUGUGAAUCAACGUUACCUUCUUUACCAACACACUAUCUUGUGGUAUAGAUAGUAUGGCAACUUCUUAUAUUCCUUAAAAGUUCAUAUUCUUUGUCCUACCACUGUUGCUAGGCCUGCUAUCAUCUUUGGCAAGGAUCAUUCCUUUCUGGCUUGAAAUAUGAUUGUGCUGCUUUAGUAAUAAGAUUAUUCCUUGAAGCUGUGGCAAAGCAAAGACUAGGUUGGAAGGUUGCGUCAUCAUCUGAUUUUAGGAUAUGUCACAAUUGAAUGCAAAUGGUCAUGCUGCUCUGGUGAUAUUCGCCUCAACUUCUAGUGUGUCCUCUCUGGAGUUUGGAUAUGCUUUGCUGCUAAGAGGAUGCUGAAGAAUCCUCUAAUCUGUUAUUUUUGAAGCCUGACAUUAUUAGGCAUUGCUUGAAGAAUAUCUUUUAACCGUGGUAUCAACAGCAGUUCUUGUUCUCCUAUUAGAUUUGCCAGAUAUGUUGUUUACAUACAUAUAUUUACUAUUAGUGACAAAUGUAAGCUUUGUCUUGAUAAUAAUGAUGAAGAAACACUAAUGAGUAGUAUGCAGUUUUUUUAUGGUGCAUUGAGAUAUUUGUGUC